rnacentral:rRNA from 1 species
AGAGUUUGAUCCUGGCUCAGAUUGAACGCUGGCGGCAUGCCUAACACAUGCAAGUCGCACGCGAAAGGGAGCAACCCCGAGUAGAGUGGCGGACGGGUGCGUAAUACGCAGGAAUCUACCCACGAGUGGGGGACAACCCGGGGAAACCCGGGCUAAUACCGCAUGAGACCUACGGGUGAAAGCGGGGGAUCGCAAGACCUCGCGCUGGUGGAUGAGCCUGCGUCCGAUUAGCUAGUUGGUAGGGUAAAAGCCUACCAAGGCAACGAUCGGUAGCUGGUCUGAGAGGACGACCAGCCACACUGGGACUGAGACACGGCCCAGACUCCUACGGGAGGCAGCAGUGGGGAAUAUUGGACAAUGGGGGCAACCCUGAUCCAGCAAUGCCGCGUGUGUGAAGAAGGCCUUCGGGUUGUAAAGCACUUUCGAUGGGGACAAACGUGUCGGGCUUAAUACGUCCGGCCUUGAUGGUACCUAGAGAAGAAGCACCGGCUAACUCUGUGCCAGCAGCCGCGGUAAUACAGAGGGUGCAAGCGUUAAUCGGAAUUACUGGGCGUAAAGCGUGCGUAGGUGGUUGGAUAAGUCAGGUGUGAAAUCCCCGAGCUUAACUUGGGAAUUGCGCUUGAUACUGUCCGGCUAGAGUGUGGUAGAGGGUAGUGGAAUUCCGCAUGUAGCGGUGAAAUGCGUAGAUAUGCGGAGGAACAUCAGUGGCGAAGGCGGCUACCUGGACCAACACUGACACUGAGGCACGAAAGCGUGGGUAGCAAACAGGAUUAGAUACCCUGGUAGUCG